rnacentral:rRNA from 1 species
GAUGAACGCUGGCGGCGUGCCUAAUACAUGCAAGUCGAGCGAACGGACGAGAAGCUUGCUUCUCUGAUGUUAGCGGCGGACGGGUGAGUAACACGUGGAUAACCUACCUAUAAGACUGGGAUAACUUCGGGAAGCCGGAGCUAAUACCGGAUAAUAUUUUGAACCGCAUGGUUCAAAAGUGAAAGACGGUCUUGCUGUCACUUAUAGAUGGAUCCGCGCUGCAUUAGCUAGUUGGUAAGGUAACGGCUUACCAAGGCAACGAUGCAUAGCCGACCUGAGAGGGUGAUCGGCCACACUGGAACUGAGACACGGUCCAGACUCCUACGGGAGGCAGCAGUAGGGAAUCUUCCGCAAUGGGCGAAAGCCUGACGGAGCAACGCCGCGUGAGUGAUGAAGGUCUUCGGAUCGUAAAACUCUGUUAUUAGGGAAGAACAUAUGUGUAAGUAACUGUGCACAUCUUGACGGUACCUAAUCAGGAAGCCACGGCUAACUACGUG